UGAUGAUCUCAGCAUGGGAGGAGCGGCAACCGCUGCAAGAUCUGUACAAUGAGGGACUAAAGGUAUGUAAACGGUAUGGUGGGCAUAAUUUUUACUUGAAAUACACUUUGUUAGGAGUACAUAUACAAUCAUGACACCAUAACCACUACUAUUGACUACUUACAUGUUGAGGGCAGAGGACACUCCUGGCACAUCAUUACAGUGUGGAUAGUGGUUAUGGUACUUGGAAUGUGACUUUAAC